UUAAGAAAAUUAUGCAUGUUGCUUUGGAUAAAAGCAUCUGCUAAAUUACUUAAA
rfam:Salmo salar isolate Sally breed double haploid chromosome ssa13, whole genome shotgun sequence.